rnacentral:lncRNA from 10 species
UGGCAUUUUUUUUUUCAGAUAGCUUCUACUGACAAACACAAAGCUUGUUUGUGUGCAAAUAUAAGGCUAAAUAAAUGGUGCUAAAGUGUAUUAUGACUGUCAGAUAAAAUCAGGCAAAAUUUUGUGGUGCUUAAAUUAAUUUUUUCAUUGAUUUUAUUGAUCAGUGCAUUGAACAGUGUUUAUUAUUCACAAGUUGUCUUUUAUUAGUAAAUCAAGGCCUCAUAGCACAUUGUUAAAUAAAGUGGUUGACUAGUCUAUGUAACAGCUCACCAAGCUACUAUCUCUUUUAACUCCUUAUAAUGUUGCGUCAUUAAAGGUCAAGGGGUCAUGCUAUUAAUCUCAUUGCUAUAGACCAUUAACAUGACUGAACUUUUCCACAAAGUACUUAUGUUUACAAUGCUAUAACCCUUUGACUGCUGCGGCAACCUUUAACCACACAAAUGUCACAAGCUAGAAUCAUCAGCAUGGUUCUUGCCAUGGCAAUCAAAGAGUUAAGGGCUGUGCAGUGAUUUGUUUUGUAUUUAUUAAUUUAUAUUUAUUUUGUUUCCAUUCAAGGAGGGGAUUAGGGGUGGGGCAGUUUUUGUCUGCUGUAAGUGUCUUAACCUAGGGAAGGGUUAAAUGGCUUUUUAUACUAUUGCAUCUUCUGUAUUUACCAUCAAUUCAUUGUGUUGUAAUUAAAAGAAACUGUCAAUAAAUAAGAG